rnacentral:lncRNA from 1 species
GCGGCGGGCGCAGCAGAGCGGCGGGCGGCGGCGGCGUCGUCGAGCGACAAUACAAGCGCCUCGGACCGAGUCCCCGAACCUGCCCUAGCCAAAAUGGCGGCCGAGAAAGAGCGGAAGUGACGGUCUCACUCUGUUGUCCAGGCAUGAUCACAGCUCACUGCAGCCUUGACCUCCCAGACUCAAGUGAACCUCCCACCUCAGCCUCCCAAGUAGCUGGGACCACAGGUGAGUGCCACCACACCCAGCUUUUUUUAUAUUUUUGUAGAGACAGGAUCUCCCUAUGUUCCCUAGGCUGGUCUCAAAUGCCUGUGCUCAAGCCAUCCUCUUGCCUUGGCCUCCCAAAGUGCUGGGAUUAUAGACAUGGGCCAUUGUGCUGGGCCUCAAUUUCUUCAGCAGCCAAGUUAAGCCAGGAAAAUGUAGUAAUUAGGAAUACUGUUCAAUAAAUAAUUUAGAGACACCUCUUACUUUUAUUUCCAGAAGAAAGUCAACUUAAACUUACUUGCUCAAAGCAUGCCCUUACUCAAAUUUUAAAAGAUACUACAUGACCAUAACCUAUGCUACAGUUAGAAAUUAACUGAUCUCUUCUGAAAUACCUACUUUAGAGAAAGUGGGUAAACAUAAUAUUUGCCCUGGCUUUAUUGGAUAGCUUAGCCCAAAUUUUAACUGGCAGAACACUUUUCUAAAUGGAGAGAAGAGCUUAAGGCAGAGAUUUUUCAAAUUAGUAGGGAUGUGAGCUUUGCUGAGGGUCUUUAAAUAAUAUGAAAACAAGUCUUUUGAGAAAAAAAUUGUUAUAUAAUUCAGUAAGAUGUUUAAAAAUUACUGUAGCAGCUAAGUUUCUGCCUCAGUGUCAUUAAUAUUUUUCCUUACUGAUAGAGGUUAUUGCUCAAAAGAGAAAAAAACGGCUAUGUAAUCAACUGCUGUCAAAUUGUUUCCCAAUUCACAAUAUGCAUUUUAAAUAGACCUGCUUUGAUAGAUGAAAUGUUUCAUCAAUUCAACAGCUGAAAAGAACCGAACUGUAAAUGCCUGCUCUAAAUGUAUUUUCUAGUUUAAGAAAUUUGAGAUACAUUUUUAAGGAAAGGGCAGAGGUGUGUAUUUCUUUUUCAAUUCAUACAGACACAGCCAUAAACAUUUCAUCAGUUAACAUUAUCUUACUUCUGAGAUCAAUUAGGUAUAAAGAUCUAUGAUUCCAGUUUUUAAAAAGACUAUUUCAAAUUAUUCCCCAUGUAAAAAAUUCUACAUUCACAUACUCUAAUGAAGGCAGCAAUACUUUAUGCAAAAAAAAAUAUACAUUUAUUUAUAGGUCUCAAUACAGCAAAAUGAAAACGAAAAUUGAGAACAUUGCUCAUUAGGCCAGCAACUUUAAAAUUAUUUAAUUUGAAAUAUAAAAUAGGUGGUCUUCAUAAAAAGAUGCAUGAAAUUUACCUUACCUUAUAUUUUAUACUUUAAGAGUACAUUUUAUACAAAUCAGUAACCAGGCUUCUUUCAUGUUUAACCUGAAAUGAACGUAACUAUAAAUGAGUAUCUUUCUUUUAUGUAGUAGCAAAAAGAGUCAAUAAUCCUUUCAAGAAAGAUACUAUUUCAUUUCCUCCCAACUUGGAUUCACCAUAAACACGAUCCACAAAUGAUAUUGGAACCUAGUUUAAAAAAAAAAAAGUAACGUUAGUCUUUAAAAACAAUUAGGCAGCUUAGCCGGUAUACCACAUUACCAACACAACAGAAAUAGGAUUAGUCCUACAACAGAGGUCCUUAAAGUAAGUAUAAAAUUAGGGGAUUAUGAAAGCAACUGUGUGUAUCUCCAAGUCUUUAAAAUUAAACAUGCAUUAUCUAAAGAUAGGUCACAUGAAACAAAUCUGCAACUGUUUAAAAAGCACUGAUUCUAGGUAUUACCUUGGUUUACUCAAGUUUCAGUUUGCAUUUCAAGGAAAAAUUAUACUCCAAAAGUAAAAUGGCCUUGUGCGUAGAUUUUUCACUUGUCAAAUUUAGCUACAAUGGUUUAGCAUUAAGUAAAAUAGCUUGUAACUUCCACAAGAGAAGUGACAUUCCAUAGCUAUUUUCUUGCUCUGAAUAAGAGUUUUACUAUUAAAUGAGGAGAGUCUUCCCUACCCUAAGAGCUCACUAACGAGCCCUAAAUAUUACAGAUCACCACCUCCUUGCUCUGUAAUUCCUGGUCUUCUCUUACUAACAGGAAAUGGACAUAUGGAACUCAUCAUUCAUUUUAAAGUAUGGUGGCCAUUGGCGGUGACAAAAGGAAAAGAAGCAAAGAGACUCAGUCCAUAAUGCUGAUUAGUUAGAAGAAAGGGCUAGGAUUGAGAAAGUACCAGGAACUUUUAAUUAUUUAAAAGAGAAUGCUGACUGUUAAUGUUUUAAAUCUUACUGUUCAAAUGUACUAAUAUGAAUUUUUACCCUUUGUGCAUGAAUAUUCUAAACAACUAGAAGACCUCCACAAUUUAGCAGUUAUGAAAGUUAAACUUUUUAUUAUAAAAAUUCUAAACCUUACUGCUCCUUUACCAGGAACAUGACACACUAUUUAGCAUCAGUUGCAUACCUCGCCAAUAGUAUAAUUCAACUGUCUUGCCCGAACAAUCAUCUCCAUCUGGAAGACGUAGCCUUUAGAAACACAUUUUUCUAUUAAUUUCUCUAGAACUUCUUUUCGGUAUAAUCUGUAAGAAAUUAAAAAUAUAUAUCAACUUCUGGAUAAAUACACAUGCCUAUGUAUCCUGACCUUUCAAAGAGUUCACUGGUAUGUAUAAAGCCUAAAACUUUCACUGGCCAUUGGUAAACAGAAAAGCUCGCACACUUGAUGAUUAUGAUACAUUUGUCCUAAGCAAGAAAGGCCAUUAAAUAUUUGCUAAAUAACUUAGAAUAAUUGUGAAAAUGAAUUCUCAGUUAUCUUUUUAUAGAAUUAUUUUCCCACCAUACUAUCAGAAAUUAGUGAAAUACGGUAAAAUGAAUCAUUUGAUGCAGAACCAUCCAUUAUUUAAGAUUUCCCUAAAAUUUAAAGUUGAAAGAAACUGUUCCAAAUAUUGAACAACAGGGUGGACAGAUGAUCAUGAAGCAACUAUAUAUGUUAGAUGACAAGAAAGAACCUCAUAAUUCACAGUCAUUUUCCAAUAAAUGUUUAUGAUGAGUUUUGAUUUCUCAUGAUUUCCUUUAUAAAUUCCCCAGGAUAAACUAAGUUGCUCUAGGAUGAGCUUGGGAAGCUAGGUUAAAACAGGAACGAGGCAUCACAGGAUAGAAACAAUCCUGGUGGGAUUCACCUAUCACCAGUUGAGGUCACAGUUAGACACUUAACAGUGGGUGAAUGUGCAGCCUAACUUUAGAUGGACUGCAGGCCAAACACCAGAUUUACAAAGACAGCGGAGUUGGGCAGUCCAGUGGGUAGACCCAAGCACUUUCUUCAGUAACUAAAUAGCAGGGAGCUCCGUAUUUUCAGAGUCACACUUUUUUUUUUUUUUUUUUAAAGAUCAGUGUCUCAGUUCAUAGGGAGGCAGCAAUUUCUACCUUUUUUUGUGGGGAGAGGGGAGAAAGCAAGAAGAGGCAGUUUGGUGUAACUUUGUUCUCUUCAAAGUUAAGGCCAUCUGGACCUACUGUGCCUCAGGGUUUCACCCUGAAUCCACAUUUUUUUUCCCUCAGACUUCUAAGGCGACCUUAUCUUUUGACUAUGAAGUGGGUAUAGGACAGCACAGCCCUUAGAAAAACCUGACAGCUUAGUGUGUGCAAUCCUUUAUCCACAUAGUUUCCUUAAGGAUUCAAAGGAAUCAAUUUGGAAUAAAUAUGGAGAGAGGAGAAUCUGAUGGUAGCAAUAUUUAUUCAAUAAUAAAUAUUUAUUGACCAAUGUACUGGGUUUCAGGUUUUUUUUUUAUGUUUUGGGGUUAAGAAGUGAACUUAAAAACUCAAUGAAGAUAUAUAAUAUGUCAGAUGCUGUUAGGGGAGGGAGCACUGGGAUUGUGGGGUGGGAAGAACUAUGAUACUGAUGGGACUAUGUUUCCACAUUACCUUUAUUUAUAUAUUUGUAUUUUUGGAGACAAGGUCUCACUCUGUUGCCCAGAGUACAGUGGCACAACCAUGGCUCACUGCAGUCUCAACUUUCCAGGCUCAAAAGAUC